rnacentral:rRNA from 1 species
UACGGAGGGUGCAAGCGUUAAUCGGAAUUACUGGGCGUAAAGCGUGCGCAGGCGGUUUGUUAAGUCCGCUGUGAAAUCCCCGAGCUCAACUUGGGAAUUGCAGUGGAUACUGGCAAGCUGGAGUAUGGUAGAGGAAGGUGGAAUUCCCGGUGUAGCAGUGAAAUGCGUAGAUAUCGGGAGGAACACCUGUGGCGAAAGCGGCGCACUGGACCACAACUGACGCUGAGGCGCGAAAGCUAGGGGAGCAAACAGG